UGGCAUGCAAAACAUGCGCGCCAUGAAACGCCCCACAUUUAAUUUUUGUUGCCCUCGAAAACACUUCCUUUUCCCUCCUUAGAAUUUUCUUAUUUCAGAAUACUCUCCCUCAAAUUUUUUUCGUGUAGCAUUCUUUUCUUCUUCCCCAAAUUUUAAUCUCUCUCUCUCUCUCUCUCUCUCUCUCUAACCAAAAACCCUCUCUGGCUCUAUCUGACCCCAAAUCCCUGCGAUUCUCUCUAACUCCAAACCAUCUAUCAUUCUUUCUCAUCUAGAAAUCCUUUUGGUUCCUAAACCCUUUCACGACUGCAAUCUCAAGAAGAGGUAUGCCAUGUGAUUGGUUGAAGUUGUAGAAAAAGCUAGGUGAGAGGACAGUGGGAGAAAGCCACCCACUUCACCUAUUUUUUCCAAUAUUUGUUCCUUUGGUACAUGCAUUGAAUUAACUAAUUUGCGUUUGAAAUAGAAGGGAAGCUAUCCAAUUGGGAUGGUAUUGGAGUGGAAGAGCUUCUGAAGUUUCUAUUCAGAAGACUAGCCAGAGGAGCAACAACAGUUUUCUAAAAGCUCACGUCAAGACAUAAGUUAGUGGUUCAAUUGUUGAAUGUCAAGGUAAACUUAAUUUACACACACAACUACCUACUUGAUCAUAAUAUCAGAAACAUUGGAGUUUAUGGUUCUGUUGCUGACAAGAUAUUUGGAAGCAACAACAAAACACAUGACAGGAUAAUUGGACAACCAGCUGAUGGUAGCCCUGCUGCACAGUUUGAGCAUAGGUUAGAUGUGGUUUGAUAUGUUAGAGAUUGAUUUUUGUUAUUAUAUUCAUGAGUGAAUGGGUUGGAGUGAUUGUGAACAAGUUAAUUGUAGGUUUGGCAACACUUUUAUGUUUCUUUUAUACUCUAAAGAGUUUGUAUUUGGAAUUGAUUAUGAUUGGUAUAAGUUUUCUUUUUAA